rnacentral:lncRNA from 1 species
CACACAACUCCGGCAGAUUCUUUCCAUCUCCACCCUUACUCCCAUAUCUAAUUCCUCCACCAGCAUUACCAUCAUCCAUAUAUAAUGGCAUCCCCACCUCGACAGUGUUAUUCUUUACAAUAAACAAAUCGAAAUCAUAAUAAAUAUUCUUCGAAGUUUCCUCCAUAAAUCCAGUAGUAACAGAAAGUGAAGAAGAAGAAGUAUGAUGUAGCAAAUCUGCAUUAGGUGUCGAUAUUGAUGCCAUCACCUUCGGCGAAGUCAUUAGAGUCUUAUUUUCUCGAAAUUCACGUAGAUUUUUUCUCUAAAACAAUUUCUGCAAUUAAAGGGCAGCCUAACAGAGAUCUUGUUCUUAGUAAUUUACUUAAUCUUUUUAAUUGCUUAUUUAAAUAUUAAUUAUAAUUAUUUUCUGUUUGAUUUCGUUCAUUGAAUCUAUUGCCUUACAAGUGACAACAUGGUGGUGCCUUUUUUGAUUUAUUUUAACCAUGCGGUGAAUGACAGCCAAAAAUCAAAAUUGGAGGUUGAGUUUUAAUAAUUUUUUAACCUCAAAAAUAGCAAUCUACUUAUCAUUGAGCAAUUCGCAACUUUAAGAUACUAUGAUGGGUGGAGUUGGUUUGAACACGACGAUGGUGAUGGGCAGACGAUUCAUUGUCACAUAUUGGGCAACCGGUUCAACGUGAAAAGUCCUAUUUGUUCAUAUGAAAUGUGAAUAGGAUAGAAUUUAGAUUGGGAAUUCUCUUAAAAGGUGAAUUUGUAAGUAUGUUCUCAUGGUUAUAGUGGUUUGUGACUAAUAGAAAUGUUGUGGUUUACAACAAAGGAAUAACUUGGCAAUGGCAACGAUGGCGAUGGCAAUGAUCGUGGGGGUGG